UACCAGCACCCCGAGUGGUCGGGACGUUUAUUGGGCCUAAAGCAUCCGUAGCCGGUUCAACAAGUCUUCCGUUAAAUCCAACUGCUUAACAGGUGGGCUGCGGAAGAUACUAUAGAGCUAGGAGGCGGGAGAGGCAAGCGGUACUCGAUGGGUAGGGGUAAAAUCCGUUGAUCCAUUGAAGACCACCAGUGGCGAAGGCGGCUUGCCAGAACGCGCUCGACGGUGAGGGAUGAAAGCUGGGGGAGCAAACCGG
rnacentral:rRNA from 1 species